rnacentral:rRNA from 1 species
GAUGAACGCUCGCGGGAGGCCUAACACAUGCAAGCCGAGCGGUAUUGUUUCUUCGGACAUGAGAGAGCGGCGUACGGGUGCGUAACACGUGUGCAACCUGCCUUUAUCUGGGGGAUAGCCUUUCGAAAGGAAGAUUAAUACUCCAUAAUAUAUUGAACGGCAUCGUUUAAUAUUGAAAGCUCCGGCGGAUAGAGAUGGGCACGCGCAAGAUUAGCUAGUUGGUGAGGUAACGGCUCACCAAGGCGAUGAUCUUUAGGGGGCCUGAGAGGGUGAUCCCCCACACUGGUACUGAGACACGGACCAGACUCCUACGGGAGGCAGCAGUGAGGAAUAUUGGGCAAUGGGUGCAAGCCUGAACCAGCCAUCCCGCGUGAAGGACGACUGCCCUAUGGGUUGUAAACUUCUUUUGUAUAGGGAUAAACCUACCCUCGAGAGGGUAGCUGAAGGUACUAUACGAAUAAGCACCGGCUAACUCCGUG